rnacentral:rRNA from 1 species
UGACGGUACCUGCAGAAGAAGCCCCGGCUAACUCCGUGCCAGCAGCCGCGGUAAUACGGAGGGGGCUAGCGUUGUUCGGAAUUACUGGGCGUAAAGCGCGCGUAGGCGGUUAUUCAAGUCAGAGGUGAAAGCCCGGAGCUCAACUCCGGAACUGCCUUUGAAACUGCUUCGCUUGAAUCCUGGAGAGGCGAGUGGAAUUCCGAGUGUAGAGGUGAAAUUCGUAGAUAUUCGGAAGAACACCAGUGGCGAAGGCGACUCGCUGGACAAGUAUUGACGCUGAGGUGCG